UAGAAGAAGCGCGAGAUUCUCCAAUUAAAUUUGAGAUUCCUAAGGACACUCCAAAGGGUGUAAAAGCUGCAUUACUAGCUGUUCGAUUUAUAAAAGCUUCACACACUUUUUCCAUGGUCAUGGACCCAGAAAUUUUGGAUAAUGAUGAAUAUUUACAUAUUUCACCUAUUGAUGUAAUUCAUCUAGGCACUAUGAAACGGAUUGGAGCUGCUUGCAUAGUAUUCUACAUUAGGUAAAAAAUUUAUCUUUAAAUUACACUUAAUGCACUAAAUAAUAUUUUUUCCUUAUUAAUCUAAUUGUAAUAUUUAGGAUCUUACAUGAAAAGUUGGUGAAGGCAAAUCGAGCACAAUAUUUUCGUUUCUUUCAUCCAAUUUUAGCUUUGGAUUCAUGUCAAGCACAAAAUGCAAUGGCAAUGGCAGAUCGCAUGGAAGGAACAGAAGCGGGACAAUUUUGGUUGCUUUCUGUUAAUACUGGGUAAGAAUUAUUUAGUUAACUAUUUAUGUUAUCAAUAUAUUUGACUUACAUAUAAUAUUUUACUUUGGUGGUCAACAGAGACCAUUGGAUGCUAGCAAUUAUUGAUGUAUUGCGUGAAACAUGUUAUUGGCUUGACUCAAUUGGAUUACCCCCGCCUAAUAAAAUUAAAUCUCUAAUGGCAAUGACUUUUGAUUACUACAAUGCUUCCAGUAAUAGGCAGCCAAAAAAGUCUGGCAUUACAUGGAAAUCUAUAAAAGUAAGUUGUAAAAUAAAAUUACAUUAAUAUAACAAUAUAGUAAUUAUUCUAUAAAUUUUAAAUUAUUUAUGUGUUUUUAUUUCAUAAAUAUGUGCAGUGUCCUCAACAAAUAUCGGAUUUUGAGUGUGGAUAUUAUCUAAUGAGAUACAUGCGUGAAUUUUGCAUGAAUUCUAGACCUAUCAAUUGGCUAACCACUCAAUGGAAUGGGAAAAAAACUUAUACAAAACAAGAAAUUGAUGAAAUUCGUUUGGAAUGGGCUGACCAAUUUUUAGAAGAAAUUACAGAAGAUGGAGUGCUUUAAUUGAGUGAUCACAAUAAAAGAAACAUUGUUAUUGUGUUAUGCAAACCUUUCAGUUUAUUAAUUUGUUUUAAGGUAGUAAGUGCUUUUUUUUUUUCCCUAAGAUGCUUUUAUCUAUGUUGGUUUCUUUGAAAUUUUUACUGAAGCUUAUUAGAGGGUCCAUCUAGUAUCUUUGUUUCAACAAAGUUAUAUGUAUCCUAUAUGACGUUGUUUAUUUCAUUAUUUUUCUUUCAAUUUUUUAUGGCGUUUAUAAUUUUUUAAAUUUAGUUUAUCUUGUUCAUUUAUUAUAAAUUUAAUUAUUUCUUUUUACCUUUCUUUAAUAUUAGAACAAAAUAUAAUUUAUAUACAUAUUGUUUUUUAA